rnacentral:lncRNA from 1 species
AUUUCCAUCAUAUAUUUACCUUAAUGUUAUUACAUGAGGAUGACUCCAUGGGAAUUCAUCAACGAUAGUUACAAAAAUCUUGAUUAAACUCGAGAAUUGGACUUAAACCCAAUGUCGUUCAGACUCGAUCAAUCAAAUACAUAUCCGAGUCAGGUACGCUAUCCAGUAGGAACGCAACUGGGCCACCUAUAGGAGCAUGUCAGAUCGGCUUAAAACUGAUCAAUCCCGGGACGAGAAUUGAACCUCUUAAGUCUAAUUCUCGAAUUAACUCAAGAUUCUCGGGACAAUUGUUGAUGAACCCCCGUGGAGUUAUUGUCACGUAAUAACAUUAAUUUAGCUAAAUAUAUUAUGGAAAUCAAUCUUAUUAAUGCACAAUAUUAUAUUAUACAUUAAUAAGAUUGAUUUCCAUUAUAUAUUUACCUUAAUGUUAUUACAUGAAGAUGACUCUAUGGGAAUUCAUCAACGAUAGUCUCGAAAAUCUUUAUUAAACUCGAGAAUUGAACUUAAACUCAAUGUCGUUCGGACCCAGCAAUUGGACCACCUAUAGGAGCAUGUCAGAUCGGCUUAAAACCGAUCAGUCUCGGGACAGUCUCAAGGCUGAGGACUAUCUACCCAUAGUUGUUGUGUUAUAAUUAUAUAGGAAGGGUCAUAUGAUAUGAUGAUCAUAAGCAUAGUUUAGAUUAUUUAUUUGUGCUUAUAUUUAGUUUUAGUCUUUCGCUCCUAUCCGAUGACCCUUUCGUUGAUCAUAUUUAACUUAAUCUAAUUUUAUUAUUAUGCAAUGAAUCGUCUGUGAUGAUACCAAUUAAGGUUUGUUUCUCUAAACUUAAUGUGUUAUUAAUGUAUCAGACAAUUGAAAAAAUUCUUAUUAUAAGUUAUAAUAGGAUCUUAAAAAAACUAUGCAUGCAAAAGUUUUGAAGGGUCAACAUUCUCAUUUUUCCUCCAAAGACCUAUUUUUCCUCCAAAGACCAACUUUCCUCUCUUUUCUAUUAUUAUAGUGUGUCAUUUCUCCUUUCACCUUCAACUUUCUUUCUCAGCAAUUCAGUGGAAUUUUAUCCAUUCAAAUGUGAACCUCAUAUUUAACUUAGACAGUGGAACACCUAACCUAACAUACAGGCUAAGAGAAGUGUAUAUGGACAUUAAAAAUAUCGCCAAAUUGUAUUAAAUAAUGUUUGAUUAAAAUUGGUAUAACAAA